UGCCCAGGCGGCAGACUUCUCCGGUACACGGAUGAUGGCAGGGGUGCCGGCGGCAGCGAGGGCGCGAAUGCAGGAGAGAGCCUCGGAGAUGCCUCCGGGGCCAUGCUCCAUGUCGACCACAACAAAGUCGUAGCCAGCGAGGCCGGCGAUCUCAGCGAUUGUGGGGGAGGCGCUCAUUAGGAAGAGGCCGUAGAGGGUCUCGCCUGAGGCCACUCGGGACUUGAGAGUUGUGUUUGCUCUGCUUCUCAGAAUGGGGGCAGGAGAUAGGACAGCUUGGGUGGAUUCGAGGAGGAAGGGAGCCAUUGCUAUCAGGUAUUGGAUGGGGAUGGGGAGGAGAAGGCUAAG
rnacentral:misc_RNA from 1 species